UACGUAGGGUGCGAGCGUUGUCCGGAUUUAUUGGGCGUAAAGGGCGCGUAGGCGGUGCGGUAAGUCACCUGUGAAAUCUCCUGGCUCAACUGGGAGCUUGCAGGCGAAACUGCCGUGCUGGAGUGUGGGAGAGGUGCGUGGAAUUCCUGGUGUAGCGGUGAAAUGCGUAGAUAUCAGGAGGAACACCUGUGGCGAAAGCGGCGCACUGGACCACAACUGACGCUGAGGCGCGAAAGCUAGGGGGAGCAAACAGG
rnacentral:rRNA from 1 species